GGAGCACGCCGCGUGCGGGAGGAAGGCCUUAGGGUUGUAAACCGCUUUUAUCAGGGAAGAACACAAUGACGGUACCUGAUGAAUAAGCCUCGGCUAAUUCCGUGCCAGCAGCCGCGGUAAUACGGGAGAGGCGAGCGUUAUCCGGAAUUAUUGGGCGUAAAGCGUCCGCAGGUGGCCAAUUAAGUCUGUCGUUAAAUCGUGGAGCUCAACUCCAUACAAGCGAUGGAAACUGAUUGGCUAGAGUACGGUAGGGGUAGCGGGAAUUCCAGGUGUAGCGGUGAAAUGCGUAGAUAUCUGGAAGAACACCAGCGACGAAAGUGCGCUACUGGGCCUGUACUGACACUCAUGGACGAAAGCCAGGGGAGCGAAAGGGAUUAGAUACCCCUGUAGUCCUGGCCGUAAACGAUGAACACUAGGUGUUGCGCGAAUCGACCCGUGCAGUGCCGUAGCCAACGCGUUAAGUGUUCCGCCUGGGGAGUACGCACGCAAGUGUGAAACUCAAAGGAAUUGACGGGGGCCCGCACAAGCGGUGGAGUACGUGGUUUAAUUCGAUGCAACGCGAAGAACCUUACCAAGGCUUGACAUCCCCCGAAUCUCUGGGAAACCGGAGAGUGCCUUCGGGAGCGGGGAGACAGGUGGUGCAUGGCUGUCGUCAG
rnacentral:rRNA from 1 species